CGCGUAGGCGGCUGGGUAAGUCGGAUGUGAAAUCCCCGGGCUUAACCUGGGAACUGCACUCGAUACUGCCCGGCUAGAGUAUGGUAGAGGGAAGCGGAAUUCCGGGUGUAGCGGUGAAAUGCGUAGAUAUCCGGAGGAACACCAGUGGCGAAGGCGGCUUCCUGGACCAAUACUGACGCUGAGGUGCGAAAGCGUGGGGAAUCAAACA
rnacentral:rRNA from 1 species